rnacentral:lncRNA from 1 species
CAAUAUCAUGAAUAACAAUAUCUGAGCUAUCAAAUUGAUUCAUCGUCGAGAAUUGAAUAGUAUAACAUAGGAAGAUCUUUUAUCCAUACCGACUCAAAAAUUUUAUUCCUGAUCCACUCAAGAAUUCCUUUAUUUAUCCACUCUUUUUUUCUAUAACCUAUUGCCUUCCUUGUACAAUUAUCAGAUAAAGUAUCACCUGACCGCUUUUCCACUUCCAUUGAUUACAAACCCAAACAAACAAUAGAAGUGAAAUGGAAA